rnacentral:rRNA from 1 species
UACGUAGGGGGCAAGCGUUGUCCGGAUUUAUUGGGCGUAAAGAGCGUGUAGGCGGCUUGGUAGGUCCGCUGUGAAAACUCGAGGCUCAACCUCGAGAUGUCGGCGGAAACCGCUUGGCUAGAGUCCGGAAGAGGAGAAUGGAAUUCCCGGUGUAGCGGUGAAAUGCGCAGAUAUCGGGAAGAACACCCGUGGCGAAGGCGGUUCUCUGGGACGGUACUGACGCUGAGACGCGAAAGCGUGGGGAGCGAACAGG